rnacentral:rRNA from 1 species
UACGUAGGGGGCAAGCGUUGUCCGGAAUCAUUGGGCGUAAAGCGCGUGUAGGCGGCCCGAUAAGUCCGCUGUGAAAGUCCAGGGCUCAACCCUGGAAUGCCGGUGGAUACUGUCGGGCUCGAGUCCGGAAGAGGCGAGUGGAAUUCCUGGUGUAGCGGUGAAAUGCGCAGAUAUCAGGAGGAACACCAAUAGCGAAGGCAGCUCGCUGGGACGGUAUUGACGCUGAGGCGCGAAAGCGUGGGGAGCAAACAGG